CCAACCACUAGAGCUUUAUAGGUGUGGCUCUUGUGUCACAUGUGUGUCGGCAGGGGGCAGAGAGGAGAGUGCUCUGAUCUCUGAACAUCUGAAUGAUUAGUAGCCUAACAUU
rnacentral:snoRNA from 1 species